rnacentral:rRNA from 1 species
UACGGAGGGGGCUAGCGUUGUUCGGAAUUACUGGGCGUAAAGGGCGCGUAGGCGGCCUUCUAAGUCGAACGUGAAAUCCCCGGGCUCAACCCGGGAACUGCGUCCGAUACUGGAAGGCUUGAAUCCGGGAGAGGGAUGUGGAAUUCCAGGUGUAGCGGUGAAAUGCGUAGAUAUCUGGAGGAACACCGGUGGCGAAGGCGACAUCCUGGUCCGGUAUUGACGCUGAGGCGCGAAAGCCAGGGGAGCAAACGGG